AGAUAUUUUAUUUUCAAUGUGGUACGGAUCGGGUUCAUGUUCAAGAAAUUGCAUACUCGAUCAUCUCUAGCCAAGUGGCAUAGCAGUUCCAAGACGAAGUACGAAGAAUUGUUCAUGUAAAUUUGAGAUAAGUUUUCAAUAGUGAUCAAGUGCCGACAAUUUUCAAAAAUUCAGUUCUUUUCCAAUUCAAUCAACACUAGUUGGAGUCAUAAUUCCAGCUCUGAAUGAUGAAGUAAACACUAUAUUAAAAAAAAAACAUUUUCUGUUGUGUAUGUUUUUUAUCCGAAGGCGAGAAGUGCUCUAACAGAAAGCGUUGUGCGCGGCUGUGGAAGAUCUAGGCCAGUCCUACAAGGCGGAUCGUGAAACAGCUGGGAAUCGAAAAUAUGACCGUAUCCCGUCAGGAAAAAAUGAAGAAAUGCAACCUUGUAAACAAUGUGGCCGAAGGAGGUAAAUCCAUCAAAUUCACGAGAAGAAGCUACGGAAAUUAGUGAGGCUUUCAAAACCAACAGGGAUUUGAAAAAAAAAAGAGUGGAAGAAACCAAAAUUGUGAAACCAUAGCUAACAUGAGUAUGUUUAUUCCAUGAGAGUUUCAAAACUAUCCAACAUAAAAUCGUUUUUGGUGAUCA